GGAGGUAAAGUUGCAUUCACAGGCCUUGAACUUUUCCACAUCUCGAUUUUUACCCAUCAUCUCUGAAUAGUUCCCUAAGGCAGCCUUCAAAUGGUGAUGUUUCUUAUAAUCCAGAGUUCAGAAGUGGCUUCUCUUCAAUCUUUCUGUGGAAUUCUAAACCAUGUGAUAAAGGAGCUGGUGAAAUAAUGUCUUGCUAUGUUGCCCAGGCUGGUCUCAAACUCUGGGGCUCAAAUGAUCCACCCAUCUUGGCCUCCCAAAGUGCUACGUGUGAACCACUGCACCUGGCCAAAAAUAUUUUACUAAGAAAAAGGAGUCACCUAUUGUAUGAUUCCAUUUAUAUGAAAUAUCCAAAAUAGGGGUGUCCAAUCUUUUGCCUUCCCUGGACCAACUGGAAGAAUUGUCUUCGACCACACAUAAAAUACACUAACACUAACAAUAGCUGAUGAGCUUUAAAAAAAAAUCACAAAACAAAAUCUCAUAGUGUUUUAAGAAAGUUUACAAAUUUGUGUUGGACCACAUUCAAAGCUGUCCUGGGUGGCAUGAGAACCAUGGGCUGAGGAUUGGACAAGCUUGCUCUACAAUAUUCAAAGAGCCAGAUUUCCUUCUGCACCAGAGCCUGUGGAAGCGCCACAGUGGAAGCAGCAGAGACUGGAAGAGCAGGCCACAGAUCAGCCCUGGGGUUCAGAGGGAUCCUGACGGCUACUCCUCAAGAUCCUCUCUGUUGUGAUUCAUCCCCCCCGGGCCCUACAGUUUCUCCUUCCUGACUCUUACAUUUCUUUGGAUGGCAUCAUUAUUUACCUGUCUCCUCCCAUAGUUAGGUGCCAAGCACUGUGGAUUCUGCCCCUCAGUGUCCAGACACCCAUUU
rnacentral:antisense_RNA from 1 species